AUGGGGGAUGUAGUGCAUAAACACACGCAGAUGCCGGCAUACUGUCGUUUCUGAGGUUCAUCCUUUUGUUCACUUUUUAAACUGUCUGACGUCGGAUCCCGCUGGAAGCUACACCGCUAAACACGAGGUUUAGCUGUUAUUUGUGUUGGAACUGAGAGACUUUAUGAGCCGAAUCAGAACAAGGAAACGAGGACGUUAGCCAAUUCUGAUUGGUCAGAUUGAUGACAUGUGAUCAAGCCUCCAAUAAUGAUUGGUGGAGACAGCUGAAGGGGGAGGGACAUUUCUGAAAAGAGAGUUUGCGGCUAGUUUUGCGGCUGGAUUGCGAACACAGCAUAAAAGGAAGCAAAGUCGGGGGAUUAAAGUGAAGGAGACAAGAAGGUAAAAUUGAUUGUGUAUUUGCUGAGAUGAGGUAGAUCCGAAGCUCUGCAAAUGCCAAGAAACCUCGGAGCCGCACAAGGGAGAAUUCUCAACUCUGUUGAUCUGAAAGCUUUUAGACGACAGAGCUCAAAGACCCUGACAGCAGUGACAUGGUGGCAGCUCAGCGUUUGAUCUUGAAGGACUUUUAACUAUUGGCUCCAUUUUCCUGCAACAUGUCAAGAUUUUGUAUUUUUGUUUAUAAUCCAGGAGGACAGAAGAAUCUGCUGAAUGAGUGGAAGUCGGUGGACUUUACUGGAACUUCAAACUGGAUGUGAAUAAUUCAAUUGAUGUGGGUUUCUGAGGCUGUGAAACGGAGCACAUACUUACCAUCCUGGCUUGGCGAGGAAGUUGUGUUGUCGGGGUUUCCGUUCUUCAUCCACAGUGUCGUUGACGGGUGUGGGGGGUUCUUUCGUGUCAUGGUCUGCUCUGUUUACCUGUUUCAUUCGUCAGGUUUUUGGGGUUUAUUUUAAUUAUAGUUAAAGUGAAUCUGCAGGGUUGUCCUGCUAUAUCCUCUACUCUUUAUUCUAGUCCAGGGAGCUGGAUGAGUGUUUGUCGUUUCAUUUAUUCACGUCAGACAGCUUUUGUUGGUUCAGAUAGUUUAUUUUUGUUUGUUGUUUUGGCCAUUGCUUCAGCCCGCAGCCUUUUUUUGCUUCGCCUGCUUUUGUUGUUAUGAAUUAUUGCUUGUGUUAAUAAAUCAGGCAUUUUAUUUUGCA